rnacentral:misc_RNA from 1 species
GAUGAAGAACGUAGUGAAAUGCGAUAAGUAAUGCGAAUUGCAGAAUUCAGUGAGUCAUCGAAUCUUUGAACGCACAUUGCGCCCUGUGGUAUUCCGCAGGGCAUGCCUGUUCGAGCGUCAUUUCAACCCUCAAGCCUCGCUUGGUGUUGGGCCCUGCCCGCCGCGGCCGGCCCUAAAGAUAGUGGCGGCGCCGCCUGGCCCUCAGCGUAGUACAGCUCUCGCUCCAGGGUCCGGCGGUAGCCUGCCAGAACCCCCCAACUCUGUGGUUGACCUCGGAUCAGGUAGGGAUACCCGCUGAACUUAAGCAUAUCAAUAAGCGGAGGA